rnacentral:rRNA from 1 species
AUUGAACGCUGGCGGUAUGCCUUACACAUGCAAGUCGAACGGUAGAGGGGCAACCCUUGAGAGUGGCGAACGGGUGAGUAAUACAUCGGAACGUGCCCAGUCGUGGGGGAUAACGUAGCGAAAGCUACGCUAAUACCGCAUACGACCCGAGGGUGAAAGCGGGGGAUCGCAAGACCUCGCGCGAUUGGAGCGGCCGAUGGCAGAUUAGGUAGUUGGUGGGGUAAAGGCCUACCAAGCCUGCGAUCUGUAGCUGGUCUGAGAGGACGACCAGCCACACUGGGACUGAGACACGGCCCAGACUCCUACGGGAGGCAGCAGUGGGGGAUUUUGGACAAUGGGCGCAAGCCUGAUCCAGCCAUACCGCGUGCGGGAAGAAGGCCUUCGGGUUGUAAACCGCUUUUGUCAGGGAAGAAAUCUUCUGGGCUAAUACCUCGGGAGGAUGACGGUACCUGAAGAAUAAGCACCGGCUAACUACGUGCCAGCCGCCGCGGUAACAC